UAAGGAAUAUUGGGCAAUGGACGCAAGUCUGACCCAGCCAUGCCGCGUGGAGGAUGAAGGUCCUCUGGAUUGUAAACUUCUUUUAUCUGGGACGAAAAAGGGUCUUUCUAGAUCAACUGACGGUACCAGAUGAAUAAGCACCGGCUAACUCCGUGCCAGCAGCCGCGGUAAUACGGAGGGUGCAAGCGUUAUCCGGAUUCACUGGGUUUAAAGGGUGCGUAGGUGGGUUGCCAAGUCCGUGGUGAAAUCCCCGAGCUUAACUCGGGAACUGCCGUGGAUACUGGUAGCCUUGAAUAUCGUGGAGGUAAGCGGAAUAUGUCAUGUAGCGGUGAAAUGCAUAGAUAUGACAUAGAACACCAAUAGCGAAGGCAGCUUACUACACGAUCAUUGACGCUGAGGCACGAAAGCGUGGGGAGCAAACAG
rnacentral:rRNA from 1 species